rnacentral:rRNA from 1 species
ACUCAAAGGAAUAGACGGGGGCCCGCACAAGCGGCGGAGCAUGUUGCUUAAUUCGACGCAACGCGAAGAACCUUACCAAGGUUUGACAUGGCCGGAAAACUCAUGGAGACAUGGGGUCCUUCGGGGCCGGUCACAGGUGGUGCAUGGCUGUCGUCAGCUCGUGUCGUGAGAUGUUGGGUUAAGUCCCGCAACGAGCGCAACCCUUGUCCCAUGUUGCCAGCAUUCAGUUGGGGACUCAUGGGAGACUGCCGGGGUCAACUCGGAGGAAGGUGGGGAUGACGUCAAGUCAUCAUGCCCCUUAUGUCUUGGGCUGCAAACAUGCUACAAUGGCCGGUACAAAGGGCUGCGAGCCUGUGAGGGUGAGCGAAUCCCGGAAAGCCGGUCUCAGUUCGGAUCGGGGUCUGCAACCCGACCCCGUGAAGUCGGAGUCGCUAGUAAUCGCGAAUCAGCAAUGUCGCGGUGAAUACGUUCCCGGGCCUUGUACACACCGCCCGU